rnacentral:rRNA from 1 species
AUAUUGCGCAAUGGGCGAAAGCCUGACGCAGCGACGCCGCGUGAGGGACGACGGCCUUCGGGUUGUAAACCUCUUUCAGCAGGGACGAAGCCGCAAGGUGACUGUACCUGCAGAAGAAGCACCGGCUAACUACGUGCCAGCAGCCGCGGUAAUACGUAGGGUGCAAGCGUUGUCCGGAAUUAUUGGGCGUAAAGAGCUCGUAGGCGGUCUGUCGCGUCGGAUGUGAAAACUCGGGGCUCAACCCCGAGCCUGCAUUCGAUACGGGCAGACUAGAGUUCGGCAGGGGAGACUGGAAUUCCUGGUGUAGCGGUGAAAUGCGCAGAUAUCAGGAGGAACACCGGUGGCGAAGGCGGGUCUCUGGGCCGAUACUGACGCUGAGGAGCGAAAGCGUGGGGAGCGAACAGG